rnacentral:rRNA from 1 species
AGAGUUUGAUCCUGGCUCAGGACGAACGCUGGCGGUAUGCCUAAUACAUGCAAGUCGAACGAUGAAGCUCUCUGCUUGCAGAGAGUGGAUUAGUGGCGAACGGGUGAGUAACACGUGGGUAACCUGCCCAUAAGAGGGGGAUAACAUCCGGAAACGGAUGCUAAUACCGCAUAGGUCUUUGAGACGCCUGUCUCUUAGAUGAAAGGUGGCUUCGGCUGCCGCUUAUGGAUGGACCCGCGGCGUAUUAGCUAGUUGGUGAGGUAAUGGCUCACCAAGGCUGUGAUACGUAGCCGACCUGAGAGGGUGAUCGGCCACACUGGGACUGAGACACGGCCCAGACUCCUACGGGAGGCAGCAGUAGGGAAUCUUCCACAAUGGGUGCAAACCUGAUGGAGCAAUACCGCGUGAGUGAAGAAGGUCUUCGGAUCGUAAAGCUCUGUUGUUAGAGAAGAACAAGCCGGGUAGUAACUGCCCCGGCCUUGACGGUAUCUAACCAGAAAGUCACGGCUAACUACGUGCCAGCAGCCGCGGUAAUACGUAGGUGACAAGCGUUGUCCGGAUUUAUUGGGCGUAAAGCGAGCGCAGGCGGUCUUUUAAGUCUGAUGUGAAAGCCCACGGCUCAACCGUGGAGGGUCAUUGGAAACUGGAAGACUUGAAUGCAGAAGAGGAAAGUGGAAUUCCAUGUGUAGCGGUGAAAUGCGUAGAUAUAUGGAGGAACACCAGUGGCGAAGGCGACUUUCUGGUCUGUAAUUGACGCUGAGGCUCGAAAGCGUGGGGAGCGAACAGGAUUAGAUACCCUGGUAGUCCACGCCGU